AACGUAGGUGGCGAGCGUUAUCCGGAUUUACUGGGCGUAAAGCGUGUGCAGGCGGGGCCUCAAGUGGGGUAUGAAAUCGCUCGGCUUAACCGGGCGCGGUUAUGCCAGACUGAGGUUCUGGAGUGCGGGAGAGGGGCGUGGAAUUCCGGGUGUAGUGGUGAAAUGCGUAGAGAUCCGGAGGAACCCCAGAGGCGAAGGCGGCGCCCUGGCCCGACACUGACGCUCAGACACGACAGCAUGGGGAGCGAACGGG
rnacentral:rRNA from 1 species